rnacentral:tRNA from 1 species
GCGCCCGUGGCGGAAUUGGCAGACGCGCUGGAUUUAGGUUCCAGUGUCUACGGACGUGCGAGUUCAAGUCUCGCCGGGCGCA